GACGAACCGUCCUAACGUUGUUCGGAAUCACUGGGCUUAAAGGGCGCGUAGGCGGCUUGCCAAGUCAGGGGUGAAAUCCUGCAGCUUAACUGCGGAACGGCAUGGGGAUACUAUUUCGGGCUCGAGGAUUGGAGGGGGGACUGGAAUUCCCGGUGUAGCAGUGAAAUGCGUAGAUAUCGGGGAGGAACACCAGUGGCGAAGGCGAGUCCCCUGGACAAUUCCUGACGCUGAGGGCACGAAAGCCCAGGGGAGGCAAACAGGAUUGAU
rnacentral:rRNA from 1 species